rnacentral:rRNA from 1 species
CAAUAGCGUAUAUUAAAGUUGUUGCAGUUAAAAAGCUCGUAGUUGGAUUUCGGGUCGUCCGGCGCGGUCCGCCGCGAGGCAGGUACUGCUCCGACGACCUUCUUCCCGACGGCCCCGUCUGCUCUUUAUUGCAGUGGACCGGGGACCUCGGGACGUUUACUGUGAAAAAAUUAGAGUGUUCAAAGCAGGCCGCCGCUUGGAUACAUUAGCAUGGAAUAAUGGAAGAGGACUUGGGUCCUAUUUUGUUGGUUUCCGGGACCGAAGUAAUGAUCAAUAGGGACAGUCGGGGGCAUUCGUAUUUAAUUGUCAGAGGUGAAAUUCUCGGAUUUAUGAAAGACGAACAAGUGCGAAAGCAUUUGCCAAGGAUGUUUUCAUUAA